UACGUAGGGCGCAAGCGUUGUCCGGAUUUAUUGGGCGUAAAGAGCGUGUAGGCGGUUUGGUAGGUCCGCUGUGAAAACUCGAGGCUCAACCUCGAGACGCCGGUGGAAACCAUCAGGCUAGAGUCCGGAAGAGGAGAGUGGAAUUCCUGGUGUAGCGGUGAAAUGCGCAGAUAUCAGGAAGAACACCCGUGGCUAAGGCGGCUCUCUAGUACGGUACUGACGCUGAGACGCGAAAGCGUGGGGAGCGAACAGG
rnacentral:rRNA from 1 species